AGAGUUUGAUCCUGGCUCAGGAUGAACGCUAGCGGCAGGCUUAAUACAUGCAAGUCGAACGGGAUUUAGGAGCUUGCUUCUAAUGAGAGUGGCGCACGGGUGAGUAACACGUACACAAUCUACCUUGUACAGGGGGAUAGCCUUGGGAAACUGAGAAUAAUACCCCAUAGUUUUAAUUUAUCGCAUGAUAGAUUAAAUAAAGCUGAGGCGGUACAAGAUGAGUGUGCGGAUGAUUAGGUAGUUGGUAGGGUAACGGCCUACCAAGCCGACGAUCAAUAGCUGGCGUGAGAGCGCGACCAGCCACACUGGAACUGAGACACGGUCCAGACUCCUACGGGAGGCAGCAGUAGGGAAUAUUGGACAAUGGGCGGAAGCCUGAUCCAGCCAUGCCGCGUGGAGGAUUAAGGCCCUCUGGGUUGUAAACUCCUUUUAUCUGGGAAGAACCAUUCCGACUUGUCGGAACAUGACGGUACCAGAGGAAUAAGCACCGGCUAACUCCGUGCCAGCAGCCGCGGUAAUACGGAGGGUGCAAGCGUUAUCCGGAUUUACUGGGUUUAAAGGGUGCGUAGGCGGACUUAUAAGUCAGUGGUGAAAGCUCGGAGCUUAACUCCGGAACUGCCAUUGAUACUGUUAGUCUUGAAUUUGGUAGAGGUAGGCGGAAUGUAACAUGUAGCGGUGAAAUGCAUAGAUAUGUUACAGAACACCGAUUGCGAAGGCAGCUUGCUAUGCCAAUAUUGACGCUGAGGCACGAAAGCGUGGGUAGCGAACAGGAUUAGAUACCCUGGUAGUCCACGCCCUAAACGAUG
rnacentral:rRNA from 1 species